UACGAAGGGGGCUAGCGUUGCUCGGAAUCACUGGGCGUAAAGCGCACGUAGGCGGCUUUUUAAGUCAGGGGUGAAAUCCUGGAGCUCAACUCCAGAACUGCCUUUGAUACUGAAGAUCUUGAGUCCGGGAGAGGUGAGUGGAACUGCGAGUGUAGAGGUGAAAUUCGUAGAUAUUCGCAAGAACACCAGAGGCGAAGGCGGCUCACUGGCCCGGUACUGACGCUGAGGCACGAAAGCGUGGGGAGCAAACAGG
rnacentral:rRNA from 1 species